rnacentral:lncRNA from 1 species
ACUGUUCCAUUGUUCAAAUCAAGCUGGACUUCUUUUCUUGGUUUCCUGAUUGCUCAGUUGUUGCUGCCUAUUGCUUCUCAUCUCUUUUUCUUUUGUAAUUUCCAGGUGCAUGUUCUUAAACUUGUGGAAUAUGAUUCUCAAGUUGGAAAGUGAAAUAGAAGUGGAGGUUUUUAAGCUUCAUAUUGAGUUGUAUGUUUAUAGUGUAGCUCUAUAUUAUGGAUCUCUCUAUUUCAUGCUUUCAUAAAUAAGUCCUUCAUGUGUAACUGAAUGUGCAAUCUGAUGCUAUCUUUUAUUAUAGGGUUUUAAGUGGUUUUAGGUCAGAAACACUCUGGACUUUAUGGAUUACGAGUAAAGGAUCAAUAGUUGAACUCUAUAUUUAAUUAUGUGAAUUGAGUAAUGAGAGGUUGUAUUAGAUUUGCUUGCGUG